UAAUACGGGAGGUGCGAGCGUUAAUCGGAAUUACUGGGCGUAAAGCGAGCGUAGGCUGUUAAUUAAGUCGAAUGUGAAAUCCCCGGGCUCAACCUGGGAACUGCAUUCGAAACUAUUUAACUAGAGUAUGGGAGAGGAAAGUAGAAUUUCCGGUGUAGCGGUGAAAUGCGUAGAUAUCGGAAGGAAUACCAGUGGCGAAGGCGGCUUUCUGGAACAAUACUGACGCUAAGGUUCGAAAGCGUGGGGAGCAAACAGGAUUAGAUACCCUGGUAGUCCACGCUGUAAACGAUGUCAACUAGCCGUUGGAAGGGUAAUCCUUUUAGUGGCGCAGCUAACGCUUUAAGUUGACCGCCUGGGGAGUACGGUCGCAAGAUUA
rnacentral:rRNA from 1 species